UACGGAGGGUGCAAGCGUUAUCCGGAUUCACUGGGGUUAAAGGGUGCGUAGGCGGGUCGGUAAGUCCGCGGUGAAAUCUCCAAGCUUAACUUGGAAACUGCCGUGGAUACUAUCAAUCUUGAAUAUAGUGGAGGUGAGCGGAAUAUGUCAUGUAGCGGUGAAAUGCUUAGAUAUGACAUAGAACACCCAUUGCGAAGGCAGCGCGCUACACUAUUAUUGACGCUGAGGCACGAAAGCGUGGGGAUCAAACAGG
rnacentral:rRNA from 1 species